GUUUGGAGUGGCAGGGGCAGUUGUUUCAAGAUGGCGGAUCUGGCUGUGGGACGGGAAGGAGCCGCUCGCUGGAGCAAGGAGCUUUCUGAUGAAGAGCAGCCACCUGUCUAUGUCCCAGGUCCAUGGCAAAGGAGGAAUGAAGAGUGCUUCUCUGAAGGAUUUAUGUCCUGAAGACAAGAGGCGCAUAGCAAACUUAAUUAAGGAGCUUGAAAGGAAGUUAUUGAAGAGGACCCGCUGGCAUCGUUCUCAGUCUUACACCAAGCGACGGAAACCAUAAUCCGCAUGACGUAAGUAUGGGGAGGUACUUCUAGUCUCCCUACAGCUUGUCACUGCCCCACCUAUUCAUGGUACCUCCCUUGCCAUACCCUGAAAUUGUACCUCUUGGCCAGACACAGUGCACAUUUCCUCACCAGGUUUAUGGACUGCUGGGUGCUGAUCAUUUCCUCCCCCCUUCUUUCUCUUUCCUCUUCAGUGCCCACUCUUCUCCCCUAGGAGGACCCACUUGCCAGUUGCAAAGAAGGUGUCAAGUGGGCUGGGCUGGAGAGAGAGCACAAUUCAGGGCUUGGUGUGGUGGUAGGCAGCGAUGGUGUCUCCAGUUCUGACAUGCUGUGUGCUUCCCCACAACAGGAUAUUAUCGAAGAAGAGCCCCAGGCGAAGAGGACCCACCUGACCUAAGUAUGGGGAGGUACUUUUGGUCUCCCUACAGCUUGUCACUGCCCCACCUAUUCCUGGCACCUCCCUUGCCGCACUAGGAGCUGUGGGGAGCUCUUUCAUUAGGAGGUCCCUGAUGACGGCUGGAAAUGACCCUCAGCCACCCCAGAAAGACCCCUCCCCUGAAAGUUUAUCCCAAUAUGAUAGACACCAGUUGGUGCCGUUGGAAGCAUGCAAAGAUGACAUGGUGCAGCCACCGUUUGGGGCUGCCAUUGCCGGUCCGAGGAACUGAGCGGAUGCGGCAGUUCUGUGGCCCCUUCCCGAUGACCUGCUUCCUGAACCUUCGUCCUGCUCCAUUUGCAAAAGUUUGUUGGGUUGUUGACUGAGGUCAGCGAUUGAGCGCUCGUUCCGUUUCGCUCGCAGGGAGAUGAGACAAUGUCGCAUCAAGCAAAUGCUAGCUCCCCUUUUCCAUUCUAGUUUCCCUGUCACUCUUCCCACCACCAAAAAUGUCCAAUUUGGAGUCUGUUGGGGAGCAAGUUUCCACACUUCUGUCAUUCAGGGCUGGAACAUCCUAUUGUAUGUAAUUUACUACCUAUCAAUGUGGGCUGGCUGCUUUGGCAUAACCCCAGCUUCUCUCUGGAUUUGAAGGGCCCAGCCAGGACCCAAGGAGUGGGUGGGUGGCAACAAUUAGCACAACACAAAGAGAGUGCAAGCUGAUCAACCACUGCACCAGCACUUAGCCAAAUAAAGAGGUUGAAAUCCAA